AAGGCAGGGGGAGUGAUGUAUUUUACAUGGGACUGUAUGUUGGGGAAAUCUGAAGGGAGGUUAGUGGUGUUUUUGCAAUGGUGAAGGUAGGGUAGGGGUGGGCGAUAUGCACGAUAUGAAUCUGCAACGAUACAGAUUUUGUCUAUAUUGCAUAUAUAUCACCUGACCGCGAUAUGACCACGGAGCGGUAGUGAAUUGAAGAAGCUUCUCACCGCUCCGGCUCCUGAGUCUGCACCGCGCAGUACUGGAGCCCGCUGGCUGACUCUGUGUGUGACGUCCGGUCCUGCAAUGCAUGCUGGGAAGAAGACGACGAGACACCUGCAGACUGCCGACUCGCCGAGCACCCUGCAGGAAAGAGACAAGACUUGGCUGGAAGAAGUUGUCAUGGUGGUCUGAUCUCUGAAUGGAGAAGUUAAGAAACGCAAACCUACAUAAGAGAAGACAUCACUGGAUGCAAGAUGCAAUGAACACUUAGCAUUGUUACAGCGCCCCCUGCUGCCCAAGAGCUUGGAGAAGUGGUUGGUGAAUCUGAUGAGAGCCUGACAUGUGUAUUUACUGAACAGCCACCCCAUCUUCCCAUCCUGUAUUAUAAUGCCACCAUUGUCCCGCAAGAUUAUAAUGCCAGCAUUUUCCCCCUCCUCCUGUGGUAGUAAUAUUAUUUUAUACUGUUAAAGAGCAGCUGUCACCAGGAUCAACCCUAUUAAAGGGAAUGUCACCUAAUUUUACUAUAUGUAAACCAUGGCAAUGCAAAUUAGCGUUGCCUAACAUAAUUAAAACUGUCCCUCUUCCAAGAGCGCAUCCCCUUAAAAUAGAAUCUGUACCACGGUCUCGGACUGUUAUCUGCAGUAAUAUAUGAGUAGUCCUACACAGAUAAGGACUCCAGAUCUCUGCUGUCAGCACUCAGAGCUGCACUGAAAUGCAGAGUCUAGACUGCCAUGCAUGCUAACAGGAGUCUUCUCAAUUAGCACAGCAUGGUAGUCCAGGAUGUGUAUUUCAGUGCAGAUUUGAGCGUUCAGUGGCAUAAUGGGGAGCAUUAGAAAAAACUAGUGAUCUGGAAUCCUUAUAUGCAGUACUCAUAUAUUACUGUACAUUAUAGUCCAAGAUCUUGCCGACAGAUUCCAUUACCUUACACACUGCCUAGUAGGGUUGAUUCAGAUUAAUUAAAUGAGCCGUAUGGUUAUAGCAAAAUCUUUAUUUUGCAAAUUAGGCGCUCAGAGCACUGGGAGGCAGGCCUAGCCCCUCGGAGCACCACUUCACCUUCUCCUCUCCUCCAUUGUAAUUCCUGUCAUAGCCUGUUUCACAGGGUCAGGCAUCUCCAUUGUUUGGAAGCCCAGUCCUAAAAUCUUGUGCUUGCAUCGGUGAGAUUCAUUGGCACAUGUACGGUUGAUCUCACAGGGCUCUCCCCGCUGAGACCUGCACUGCACAAUUGUCGAUGUCCGUUUCCUCCAGCAGGGAAAGCCUUGUGAGAUCAACCGCACACGUGACAUUGAAGUCUUCAGGGCCGGCUUCCGAACAAUGAGGAUGCAUGACCCUGUCAAAUCAGACCAUGAGGGUAAUGGCGAUGAGGGAGGUGACGUGGCGCUCCGAGACUAGGACAGCUCCCCAGUGUUCCAAUCAC